rnacentral:miRNA from 10 species
AUAGUAAGGCUGGUGCAAAAGUAAUCGCGGUUUUUGCCAUUCGGUUUUGCCAUUAAAAAGUAAUUACUUUUAAUGGCAAAAACCACAAUUACUUUUGCACCAACC